UACGGGAAGGGCAAGCGUUAUCCGGCUUGACUGGGCGUAAAGAGUCCGUAGACGGUGAAGUAAGUUUAUUGUUAAAUUUUAAAACUUAAUUUUAAGAAAGCAAUAAAUACUGCUUUACUUUGAGUUUAAUAUAGAAAAGUGGAAUUUUAUAUGGUAGGGGUGAAAUCCGUAGAUAUAUAAAGGAAUGCCAACAGCGAAGGCAGCUGGCUACACGAAUAUUGACACUGAUGCACGAAAGCGUGGGGAUCAAACAGG
rnacentral:rRNA from 1 species